CAGUACCGUGAGGGAAAGGUGAAAAGCACCCCGGAAGGGGAGUGAAAUAGAACCUGAAACCGUGUGCUUACAAGUAGUCAGAGCCCGUUAAUGGGUGAUGGCGUGCCUUUUGUAGAAUGAACCGGCGAGUUACGAUUUGAUGCAAGGUUAAGCAGUAAAUGUGGAGCCGUAGCGAAAGCGAGUCUGAAUAGGGCGUUUAGUAUUUGGUCGUAGACCCGAAACCAGGUGAUCUACCCUUGGUCAGGUUGAAGUUCAGGUAACACUGAAUGGAGGACCGAACCGACUUACGUUGAAAAGUGAGCGGAUGAACUGAGGGUAGCGGAGAAAUUCCAAUCGAACCUGGAGAUAGCUGGUUCUCUCCGAAAUAGCUUUAGGGCUAGCCUCAAGUGAUGAUUAUUGGAGGUAGAGCACUGUUUGGACGAGGGGCCCCUCUCGGGUUACCGAAUUCAGACAAACUCCGAAUGCCAAUUAAUUUAACUUGGGAGUCAGAACAUGGGUGAUAAGGUCCGUGUUCGAAAGGGAAACAGCCCAGACCACCAGCUAAGGUCCCAAAAUAUAUGUUAAGUGGAAAAGGAUGUGGCGUUGCCCAGACAACUAGGAUGUUGGCUUAGAAGCAGCCAUCAUUUAAAGAGUGCGUAAUAGCUCACUAGUCGAGUGACACUGCGCCGAAAAUGUACCGGGGCUAAACAUAUUACCGAAGCUGUGGAUUGUCCUUUGGACAAUGGUAGGAGAGCGUUCUAAGGGCGUUGAAGCAUGAUCGUAAGGACAUGUGGAGCGCUUAGAAGUGAGAAUGCCGGUGUGAGUAGCGAAAGACGGGUGAGAAUCCCGUCCACCGAUUGACUAAGGUUUCCAGAGGAAGGCUCGUCCGCUCUGGGUUAGUCGGGUCCUAAGCUGAGGCCGACAGGCGUAGGCGAUGGAUAACAGGUUGAUAUUCCUGUACCACCUAUAAUCGUUUUAAUCGAUGGGGGGACGCAGUAGGAUAGGCGAAGCGUGCGAUUGGAUUGCACGUCUAAGCAGUAAGGCUGAGUAUUAGGCAAAUCCGGUACUCGUUAAGGCUGAGC
rnacentral:rRNA from 1 species